AGAGCGAACGCUGGCGGCAGGCUUAACACAUGCAAGUCGAGCGCUCGUAGCAAUACGAGAGCGGCAGACGGGAGAGUAACACGUGGGAACGUACCCUUUGGUUCGGAACAACACAGGGAAACUUGUGCUAAUACCGGAUAAGCCCUUACGGGGAAAGAUUUAUCGCCAAAGGAUCGGCCCGCGUCUGAUUAGCUAGUUGGUGGGGUAACGGCUCACCAAGGCGACGAUCAGUAGCUGGUCUGAGAGGAUGACCAGCCUCAUUGGGACUGAGACACGGCCCAAACUCCUACGGGAGGCAGCAGUGGGGAAUAUUGGACAAUGGGCGCAAGCCUGAUCCAGCCAUGCCGCGUGGAUGAUGAAGGCCUUAGGGUUGUAAAGUCCUUUUAACGGGGAAGAUAAUGACGGUACCGUAGAAUAAGCCCGGCUAACUUCGCGCCAGCACGCCGC
rnacentral:rRNA from 1 species